UUAGAGUUUGAUCAUGGCUCAGAUUGAACGCUGGCGGCAUGCCUUACACAUGCAAGUCGAACGGCAGCACGGGUGCUUGCACCUGGUGGCGAGUGGCGAACGGGUGAGUAAUACAUCGGAACAUGUCCUGUAGUGGGGGAUAGCCCGGCGAAAGCCGGAUUAAUACCGCAUACGAUCUACGGAUGAGAGCGGGGGACCUUCGGGCCUCGCGCUAUAGGGUUGGCCGAUGGCUGAUUAGCUAGUUGGUGGGGUAAAGGCCUACCAAGGCGACGAUCAGUAGCUGGUCUGAGAGGACGACCAGCCACACUGGGACUGAGACACGGCCCAGACUCCUACGGGAGGCAGCAGUGGGGAAUUUUGGACAAUGGGCGAAAGCCUGAUCCAGCAAUGCCGCGUGUGUGAAGAAGGCCUUCGGGUUGUAAAGCACUUUUGUCCGGAAAGAAAUCCUUGGCUCUAAUACAGUCGGGGGAUGACGGUACCGGAAGAAUAAGCACCGGCUAACUACGUGCCAGCAGCCGCGGUAAUACGUAGGGUGCGAGCGUUAAUCGGAAUUACUGGGCGUAAAGCGUGCGCAGGCGGUUUGCUAAGACCGAUGUGAAAUCCCCGGGCUCAACCUGGGAACUGCAUUGGUGACUGGCAGGCUAGAGUAUGGCAGAGGGGGGUAGAAUUCCACGUGUAGCAGUGAAGUGCGUAGAGAUGUGGAGGAAUACCGAUGGCGAAGGCAGCCCCCUGGGCCAAUACUGACGCUCAUGCACGAAAGCGUGGGGAGCAAACAGGAUUAGAUACCCUGGUAGUCCACGCCCUAAACGAUGUCAACUAGUUGUUGGGGAUUCAUUUCCUUAGUAACGUAGCUAACGCGUGAAGUUGACCGCCUGGGGAGUACGGUCGCAAGAUUAAAACUCAAAGGAAUUGACGGGGACCCGCACAAGCGGUGGAUGAUGUGGAUUAAUUCGAUGCAACGCGAAAAACCUUACCUACCCUUGACAUGGUCGGAAUCCCGCUGAGAGGUGGGAGUGCUCGAAAGAGAACCGGCGCACAGGUGCUGCAUGGCUGUCGUCAGCUCGUGUCGUGAGAUGUUGGGUUAAGUCCCGCAACGAGCGCAACCCUUGUCCUUAGUUGCUACGCAAGAGCACUCUAAGGAGACUGCCGGUGACAAACCGGAGGAAGGUGGGGAUGACGUCAAGUCCUCAUGGCCCUUAUGGGUAGGGCUUCACACGUCAUACAAUGGUCGGAACAGAGGGUUGCCAACCCGCGAGGGGGAGCUAAUCCCAGAAAACCGAUCGUAGUCCGGAUUGCACUCUGCAACUCGAGUGCAUGAAGCUGGAAUCGCUAGUAAUCGCGGAUCAGCAUGCCGCGGUGAAU
rnacentral:rRNA from 1 species